GUCUCCCCCCAUGUAGUUAAUAUAGGCAGACACCAUCAACAGAUGAAGCCCUUUGAUGGAAAGUGAAGAUGAGUUUCUCAAUAAAAUCAUCAGCACAGACAAUAAUGAAAAGCCAGAAAGAAUAUAUGGAGCAAAUACAACAAAAUUUUGUUCAUUGUUGAAUCUGUUGAUGAAAGGAAAUACUCUAUGUAAGCUUACUCUCAAGUAUUUUA
rnacentral:lncRNA from 1 species